rnacentral:lncRNA from 1 species
UAUAAAUACCUAAAUAUGGUGCUCAAGGAACAUUGUGAAAGAAAGGAAAAUUUACAAUAGGGAAUGAAAAUUUCCUGUGUAAAACUGAAAUAUCUAUAUCUCUGGUAAUUGAUUUAUCUUACCCUAAGGAUGAAAUUUGACAAAAAGGCAGGAUGAUCAACUCAGCAAAACAAAAAAUUUAGAUAAACUAAAAAAUGGCCAAAACUGAUAAGAGUGAAAAAUAAACAGACA